rnacentral:miRNA from 1 species
UCUCUGGCUAUCUGGGGUGAUGAGAGAAGUACCAUCCACAAAGAGUAUUCAGUCAGAGUUCGGGAGGGGUUGGUCAGAAAGUCCUGGAUGUGGAGGAAUCAGCUCUUCCAGGAGUUGAGGGCAGGAAUGGGAGGGUUCUG